UACGUAGGGGGCAAGCGUUGUCCGGAAUCAUUGGGCGUAAAGAGCUCGUAGGCGGCUUGGCAAGUCGGGUGUGAAACCUCCAGGCUCAACCUGGAGACGCCACCCGAUACUGCCAUGGCUAGAGUCCGGUAGGGGACCACGGAAUUCCUGGUGUAGCGGUGAAAUGCGCAGAUAUCAGGAGGAACACCGAUGGCGAAGGCAGGUCUCUGGGCCACUACUGACGCUGAGAAGCGAAAGCAUGGGGAGCGAACAGG
rnacentral:rRNA from 1 species